ACCUGGAUCCAGCAGCCGCGGUAAUACGCGUGAAGGUGAGCGUUAUCGGAAUUACUGGGCGUAAAGCGCACGCAGGCGGUUUGUUAAGUCAGAUGUGAAAUCCCCGGGCUCAACCUGGGAACUGCAUCUGAUACUGGCAAGCUUGAGUCUCGUAGAGGGGGGUAGAAUUCCAGGUGUAGCGGUGAAAUGCGUAGAGAUCUGGAGGAAUACCGGUGGCGAAGGCGGCCCCCUGGACGAAGACUGACGCUCAGGUGCGAAAGCGUGGGGAGCAAACAGGAUUAGAUACCCUGGUAGUCCACGCCGUAAACGAUGUCGACUUGGAGGUUGUGCCCUUGAGGCGUGGCUUCCGGAGCUAACGCGUUAAGUCGACCGCCUGGGGAGCAUGGCCGUUUUAGU
rnacentral:rRNA from 1 species